CUGCCACAAACUUGCUCUGCACCUUAUUAACUUCCCAUAACAAUAAAUUACUAUUCAAGCUACAUAAGCAAGUCCCAUUUCCAUGAACCAUGUACACAUGAUUAACAUGAAAUUAUGACUCAACAUUAUAACACUUGGUUUGGCAGACUAACUUUAAGCUUCCUGAUCACACAUUUAAUAAGAAAUAGUAAAAGACUAAUUACAGGCACAAGUUAAAACCAAUCUUCCAUCACAACAACACAUAUCCAAUAGAAUGUUAAGAGUUCCUGAACAAAAAUUCUUCCAUUAAU
rnacentral:lncRNA from 1 species